rnacentral:tRNA from 1 species
GCCUGGUUAGCUCAAAUGGUAGAGCGGCUGCCCCAGAAAGGCGGUGGUUCCAGGUUCGAGUCCUGGACCAGGACA